rnacentral:rRNA from 1 species
GACGAACGCUGGCGGCGUGCUUAACACAUGCAAGUCGAACGGAAAGGCCCUGCUUUUGUGGGGUGCUCGAGUGGCGAACGGGUGAGUCACACGUGAGUAACCUGCCCUUGACUUUGGGAUAACUUCAGGAAACUGGGGCUAAUACCGGAUAGGAGCUCCUGCUGCAUGGGGGGGGUUGGAAAGUUUUGGCGGUUGGGGAUGGACUCGCGGCUUAUCAGCUUGUUGGUGGGGUAGUGGCUUACCAAGGCUUUGACGGGUAGCCGGCCUGAGAGGGUGACCGGCCACAUUGGGACUGAGAUACGGCCCAGACUCCUACGGGAGGCAGCAGGGGGGAAUAUGGCACAAUGGGCGGAAGCCUGAUGCAGCAACGCCGCGUGCGGGAUGACGGCCUUCGGGUGGUAAACCGCUUUCGCCUGUGACGAAGCGUGAGUGACGGUAAUGGGUAAAGAAGCACCGGCUAACUACGUG